GAAAUGCGAUAAGUAAUGUGAAUUGCAGAAUUCCGUGAAUCAUCGAAUCUUUGAACGCACAUUGCGCCCUCUGGUAUUCCGGGGGGCAUGCCUGUCCGAGCGUCAUUGCACCAAUCAAGCCCGGCUUGUGUGAUGGGUCUUCAUUCGUCCCGAAUGGGGGACGGGCCCGAAAUGCAGUGGCGGCGUCGUGGUUAUCCAACGGCCUGAGUGUAUGGGGCUCUGUCACACGCUCACCAGCCAGGACCGGCGCCAGCCUACCAGUCUAUUCUUCUUAGGUUGACCUCGGAUCAGGUAGGGAUACCCGCUGAACUUAA
rnacentral:misc_RNA from 1 species